rnacentral:lncRNA from 1 species
UUCAACUUGCAGCGAAAAAAGAAUCACACCUUAUGGUUGGAGAUGGAUUGAUUGGUGAGACGCGGGGCCUGGGGCGUGGAUCGUUGCUGGAAAGCAGAUAAUGAAUGGGACUCUCCUCAACGUGUCUCACGGUGCCUGGUACAUCAAGUAGAUUAACACUGCUUAUUAGUUUUGUUCAACUUGCAGCGAAAAAAUGAUCAUACCUUAGUUGGAGAUGGAUUGAUUGGUUUUUGUUCAACUUGCAGCGAAAAAAGGAUCAUGAGACGCGAGGCCUGCGGGCGUGGAUCGUUGGUAGAAAGCAGAUGAUGGAUGGGACUCUCCUCAGCGUGUUUCACGGUGCCUAAUCGAUCUCUUCCUGGGGUGGGCGAGGCGAGCGUGGGGCGAGAGAAGGAAAGUGCCUGAUCAAUCUCUUCCUGGGGCCUGAUCGAUCUCUUCCUGGUGUGGGUGCUAAUAUAGUUUUUUCAAAAGGAAUCGUGUGUGUCUUGGUUUGUUACUACGAACCCAAACGGCAAGCUAUCCUGGUUGGAUUCAGUUAUGUGAUUGUAUAUGGCAGUUCCUGCCUGAUCUAUCUCUUCCUUGGCAAUUCCGGCAAGCUAACCUGGUUGGAUUCAGUUCGUGAUUGUAUAUGGCAGUUCUGAUCGAUCUCUUCCGAUCGAUCUCUUCCUUCGGGCCCUGCUGGGCCUGCGGGGUGCUGGGCCUCGAGCGUGGGAUCGGGAGAGGCGAGCGUGGGGCGAGGGAAGUAAAGCUUGACACGCGACGAAAGAAACGGUCCGUAGUUUUUAAGCAGGUAUAGAUAUCUCGUCAUAUUAAUACCGUGUAGAUCAACUCAUAAUAGUACCAAGACAAAAUCAGGGUAACAACAUUCGUCAAAAUUUAAUAACUGAUCAUGUAUCAAUGGUACUUAUGUUAAUCUUAUUGCGUCCUUUGGCACAUAGAAUGACCAUUAACGUGCAUCAAACAAAUAACGGUAUGAAUAUCGCCAAUUUUUUUACAAUCAAAUAGUUAACUAAAUAGCUACCUAAAAGCACUGAAAAACAAAUAGCCAUACAUCAAACAAACAACUCGAAUUGGCCUCGGGUCGACCCACAUCAACCUUUCUCUAUAGUAGAAAGAGAAGAACAAGAGAAAGGAAUAAUCCAAAAAUCCAAACAAUUCUUUAAUCCCCUUUCUCCAAACAGAUGGAGAGUAGCAAAAAUAGCGGUGAGAGAAAACAUCGCUCCCGGUCCUUGCCUCCCCAAAAGCCCCGUAGAGUUGGAUGGGAUGAGGAUGGACAUUGUUUCUUGGCGGAGAGGAUCGGAUAGCAAGGGCGGCCUGAGGUCCGCGGUCGCCGACACCGGAGGGCGGCCGAGGCCGCGGCCUGAGGCGGCGGCGGCGGAGACCAAGCCCACGGCCGCGCUUUGCGGAGGCAUGGAGGCACCUAUGCUAGGCUGUGGCUGCUGCUCGAGAAAUCCAGGAGAGAGGGACAGGAGAGAAGAUUGGGAGACGGGAGAGAGACAGGAGUUGCAGAGAGAUUAACUUGGGGGCAGAGGAAUUAUUAAGAAAAAUAAUGGACACGUGCUGGGCAAAUAAGAUAGGGGUAGAUACAGUGGGCGGUACGGUACGGAGAGGUUGCAUAUCAUCCUGAUAGUGAUAGAUCUUUAUCCCGCAGAACUAUAUCUAGAAUCUCUAAAGAGCUGGAAUCAAAUAGAGUUAUUCCUUAACGUUUCAUGCAUAUUUCUUGCUUUAAGGAGACAAAAUGAAUUCCAAGGAACCUUUCAAACAGAGAGUUCUCCAGAAUCUUGGCGUACCCGUCGGUGGCUGGAUUUGUCCUCAAGACACCACCAUCCUGAUAAAAUUUCACAAAAUUCUAAUCCAUCAGUGCAAGGGAAGCACAACUUGUUUAUGAAGAUGUUUUUUUCUGAACUAAUUACCCAAUUUGCGUUGGUUCUCAGUCGAGCAAGGAUUUUUCAGAAAUUAUAUAUUGUACGUUUCCUGAAAUCCAAGUUCUAAAUCCCUAUACAUGCGUAUGAGAACAGCAACGUCAAAGAAUAGUUUUGAUUCAACCGCUGCUGUGAGAAGCAUUUGAAUAAUUUGAAAUGGAUCAUGUGUUUCACGUUGUACCACUUGGUCAAAUUACUUUCUCAAAAUGACUGAGUCUUUAUGGAAGCACCGCAACCGCAAUGCCAUCGUCUUCAAUAACAAACAAACUUGCCUUGCUAUGCAGCUCGACACCAUUCGGCACGAUGGUAGAUCCUUCCGGCAGAACUUAGCGAGUAGGUCGUGAGUUCUACCUCUAGGGCGUGGACCCUUCCGUGGCCUCAUAUAUAGUUUUGAUAAAUGUAUCGGAACACACUACUUUUGCGUUUCCUAGGAAAUUUUUUUAUGUAACGUGAAUUGGGUGUUCACUUGAUGUGUUACCAAGACCAAAACCUGUAAAACUAAAAAACACACAUACCAUAAACUCUAUACAUGCACUAUUCUUCUUUACCUGCACCACAAAUGUCCAAAUUAUAACACGAGAAAUACAUAAAGUGGCGCUUAUACAACAAGGUAUCGUGAAUACAAUUCUCAACCUGGAAUUAUGAUUAGAAAAACUGCAAGCACAACACAGAAUAUCGUAAACAUUCGGAACAUUAUUAUAAUUACCAUUCAAAUUACAUAAUAUGAUCACACCGCUCCUUCCAGUUGUCAACACUGGAAUUGAUGUGUAGAUAGAUUUUCCAAGUACUUGUCCACAAUAUCCAAACCACACAGUUCCUUAACCACUGUCAUUGGCGCAGGGACAUCGAGCUGGAAUGUGAGCGGUGAGCUUCCAGACCCAGUGCUGUGUGCGAAUUCCUUUCUUGCUGCGCAGAUAGCUUCUCUCACCGC